GACGAACGCUGGCGGCGUGCUAAUACAUGCAAGUAGAACGCUGAAGGAGGAGCUUGCUUCUCUGGAUGAGUUGCGAACGGGUGAGUACGCGUAGGUAACCUGCCUGGUAGCGGGGGAUAACUAUUGGAAACGAUAGCUAAUACCGCAUAAAAUUGAUUAUUGCAUGAUAGUCAAUUAAAAGGUGCAAUUGCAUCACUACCAGAUGGACCUGCGUUGUAUUAGCUAGUUGGUGGGGUAACGGCUCACCAAGGCAACGAUACAUAGCCGACCUGAGAGGGUGAUCGGCCACACUGGGACUGAGACACGGCCCAGACUCCUACGGGAGGCAGCAGUAGGGAAUCUUCGGCAAUGGACGGAAGUCUGACCGAGCAACGCCGCGUGAGUGAAGAAGGUUUUCGGAUCGUAAAGCUCUGUUGUAAGAGAAGAACGAGUGUGAGAGUGGAAAGUUCACACUGAUGACGGUAUCUUACCA
rnacentral:rRNA from 1 species